rnacentral:rRNA from 1 species
GACGAACGCUGGCGGCGUGCCUAAUACAUGCAAGUCGAGCGGACUGACUAGGAGCUUGCUCUUGUUCGGUCAGCGGCGGACGGGUGAGUAACACGUGGGCAACCUGCCCGCAAGACCGGGAUAACUCCGGGAAACCGGAGCUAAUACCGGAUAACACCGAAGACCGCAUGGUCUUUGGUUGAAAGGCGGCGCAAGCUGCCACUUUCGGAUGGGCCCGCGGCGCAUUAGCUAGUUGGUGAGGUAACGGCUUACCAAGGCGACGAUGCGUAGCCGGCCUGAGAGGGUGACCGGCCACACUGGGACUGAGACACGGCCCAGACUCCUACGGGAGGCAGCAGUAGGGAAUCUUCCGCAAUGGGCGAAAGCCUGACGGAGCGACGCCGCGUGAGCGAAGAAGGCCUUCGGGUCGUAAAGCUCUGUUGUGAGGGACGAAGGAGCGUCGUUGGAAGAAGGCGGCGCGGGGACGGUACCUCACGAGGAAGCCCCGGCUAACUACGU